CCAAAAGCUUGGAGUUUAUAAGCACCUGGAA
rnacentral:piRNA from 1 species